rnacentral:rRNA from 1 species
UACGGAGGGUGCGAGCGUUAAUCGGAAUUACUGGGCGUAAAGAGCACGUAGGCGGCAAAGUCAGUUCGAUGUGAAAUCCCUGGGCUUAACCUAGGAAUUGCAUUGAAUACUGCUUGGCUAGAGUGUGACAGAGGGUGGUGGAAUUCCCGGUGUAGCGGUGAAAUGCAUAGAUAUCGGGAGGAACAUCGAUGGCGAAGGCAGCCACCUGGGUCAACACUGACGCUGAGGUGCGAAAGCGUGGGGAGCAAACAGG